rnacentral:lncRNA from 1 species
CCAAACUAAUUGAAUUUUAAAUCCUAAUAAAAUCCUAAACCCUAAAUCAAAUCCUAAUCAAAUUCUAAAUCCUAAAUCAAAUCCUAACCAAACCCUAAAUCAAAUUCUAAUCCAAAUCCUAAAUCCUAAAUCAAAUCCUAAAUCAAAUCCUAAUCCAAAUCCUAAACCCUAAACCAAACCCUAAACCAAAUCCUAAAUCCUAAACCAAAUCUUAAUCCAAAUCCUAAAUCCUAAACCAAAUCCUAAACCAAAUCUUAAGCCAAACUCUAAUCCAAAUCUUAAACCAAAUCCUAAUCAAAUCCUAAAUCCUAAACCAAACCCUAACCAAAUCCUAAAUCCUAAACCCUAAAUCAAACCCUAAUCCAAAUCCUAAACCCCAAACCAAAUCCUAACAAAAUCCUAAACCAAAUCUUAACCAAAUCCUAAACCAAAUCCUAAUAAUUCCUACAAUAGAUUUAAACCUCAAUAAUUAAUGAAUAAACCGUUGAUCUUAACUCAAAUUUUGCACAGUUCUAUAAAAAUAAGUUAAAAACAAGCACAAAAAAAGUUGAUAAGGAUCGAAAUUACCAAAUUGACGAUAUCUUCAAAAAUGUGCUUGGGUAUUGGCCGGCCUCCUUCUCCAAUCUUGAUGCCAAUCUUCCAGAACCAAUACCUCUCCUUUGCACCGUUCGAUUGAUCUCAAAAUUCUCAUACACAUAGAAAAACAAGUCUAAUAUCCUUUCACACAAGUUUCACUCCAAUCCAAUCAAUAGAUUGUAAGAAAUCUUAAAAAUCCUCACUAGACCUCCUUUGCAUCGUUCGAUUGAUCUCAAAAUUCUCAUACACAUAGAAAAACAAGUCUAAUAUCCUUUCACACAAGUUUCACUCCAAUCCAAUCAAUAGAUUGUAAGAAAUCUUAAAAAUCCUCACUAGACCUAAAAUUCUACUUUCUGAGACCUUGACCCACUUAAACCUUAAUAUCCUUCAAUUCAACCGUUAGAUCAAGCUCAAAUUUACAACACAUAUUUAACACAACUAUAAACAUAAACCCACAAAAUUUCACCCGUAGAUCUCUAAUAAAACUCUUGAAAUCAUCCAAAAAGUAAACCCUAUUUUAUUUCAUAAAACCCAAGUCAUCCAAAACAAAUCUUGACUUUGCAAAGCUAUUACAAAGUCAAUACAGAUCCAAAUCACCCAAAACCAACACCUAUAGAAACCCUAUUCAAUCUUCUAUCAAACCCCUUUCUCCGAUCUGUCAAAGAGUCUUUGAAUCACCGUCAGAGCGUGGUUUUGUGCCUUGGGAUCUGAUUUCGACCCAGGUUCAUAACCGGUCCUCUUCGGGUAUCAACUUUCGUCUUCUUGAGGUAAUUUUUACUAAUUUGCACUCCUAGCUCCUCCCUACAUAUGCCUAUAUCCUUUAUUUUUUUAAUCUACCUUAUAAAGUAAAUAGAAGCAUAAUUUGCAAAUAGGCAACAUUAGCACCUUUAAUUUUUCUACUCUUUGACUAAUAUCUAUUUUUCCAAGAUACUUUGAUAUAAUAUUUUUGAAGUGAGAUCCUCAAAAUAUGAUAUUUUCUUCACCCUUUCACUUAUUAUCUAUGUUACAUCAUGACAGUAGAUAUACUUCAUAAAUGGUCAAAUAAUCAAAUGCCAAAUGCAUUUAUAUUGUCGAUAUUAAUUAACGGUUUGCAUCCACUAGAAUUGAAAAUGUUUGUAAAAGAGGCUCGACCAGCUACGAUAGAUGAAUCAUUAGCACGAGCAAAGAUGUGAGAAGAAUGUCAUUAUGACUAAUUAUUAACAAUGGAGGCCACGAUGAUUCCAAGUUCAGGAAGCCAACAAAUACAACCAGGAAAUGUGUCGAUGGGUAAUUAUCCACAAAUGGUUGACUCCAACAUGAAGAAUGUUAUGUUGCAAAAAACAAUUAAUGCUACACCACUCCAAGCAAUAGCUCUAAUAACAAUGACACCUUAUUUUAUAUCACUACCCUAUCAACAACUGGAAUUGUUCACAAAUGCGAUUGUUAAAGAUCCAAAUGAAGCCUUGUUAUUAAAUCUAACAAAGAAGAUGGAAGAAUUGGCCAUGAAUUUGGCUAAAGAUAAGGAGAAACGACAUAAGCCUUCUAAUACGAGAUCUAAUGUAUGGUGUAAUAAUUGUAAGGAACAAGGUCAUUUUGAUAUGGAAUAUCCAUCACCUAAACAAACGGGUGUUUAAUGUACAUUUUGCGGAAGAAAUCACCCAACCCAAAAUUGCUUGCAUUUACAAAAGCAAGAAUAAUUCAGUAAUUAGACUAUGAUCCCACCAACUUAGUGGAAAGUCAAUCAAGUUCAAAUGGAAAAUACGUAUGGAUGAAAUGGAAAUCGAUCUAAUCCACAAAAUCGAAUAUUCAAUAACUUUCAAAGUUCUAAUUUUAAUCAGGGGUGUGCAUCAAACCCCCAGAACUAUAGAAAGGAGCAGCAGAGGUAUCAGCAAUAUGCUCCACUGGCAUCAUUGAACCAAAUACCCUCUGUACCAACCAGGAUCAUUUUCUAAUCCUACAUGGAACAAGCCUAGUACGUAUAUAUCGAUGCAGACACCCAAUAUGCGAGAUGGAGGUGCACGAAGACCACUUCAUUGUUUUCAUUGCAGAUAGAUUGGUCAUUAUGCCAGUGAAUGUCCCAAUCGUAGAGCCAGUGACGAUUAUGCGCCUUGGACACAAGAUUAUGUGAGUGCCUUGGACACAAGAUUCAGUACUUCGUACAUGUCAGACUUAUCGACUCAUUUUAAACUAGCAUGGGGAUUGAAACCAAACAUCGCCACUGCACCUUUAUGUCAAACUAUCAAUUUGGCAACCACAGCAAAGCCUCAGAUAAUUAAAGUAUAUGAAGGUAUUAAAGAAUAAGAGUUAACCUGCUGGACAUAAUUUUUCUUGCAUCAUAAAUUAGCUUUUGCUUAGACUUAUGUUGAUCUAAAAGGUAUCUCCACUGAAGUUUGUGAGCAUCAUAUCAUUUUAGAGCAAAACGCUAAAUAGAUACGGUAGAGGUAAUAUCGCCUUAAUCCUAAAUAUUCUCUCAUAGUAAAGGAGGAAUUGGACAAGCUUCUUGCAGUUGGUUUUAUUUACUCGGUACCGAAUAGUGAGUGGAUUUCUCUAAUCGUGAUGGUGCUAAAAAGAACGGAAAAAUCUGAAUUUGUUAGGAUUUUUGAAAACUUAAUACAGCCACUAAAAAAGAUUACUUCUCAUUAUUUUUCACGGACAGUAUGGGUAACAUGUUGUCAUUAUUGCCAGGUAGUAAAAGAAUAGGAGUAGGGCACUAGUUAAAGUCAUUAUGUGGUGUUGUUUUGGGUUGGCUGGAGUGCCAUUUUCUUGUAUUUCUUGUAUUUUUGAGAAUAGUAGUUCCAGUUAAGAGUUAACAGUGAGGAGCUAGUCACAAGUGUCGAUUGAAGAUGUUCUAGAAUGGAUGAGUCAGCAGCAACAACAAUUGAAACUUCGAGAUGUCUAAAUCUUGAAAUUGGAAGCUCAAGACCAUGAAUUGGGAGAGUAUAAUGAAGAUCUCUCAAACCAGUUGAGGAAGGAGUCGAUGGACGAACUGGAGGAAGAAGAAGAAGAUUUGCAAUUGAAACCAGAUUUGGUGGAACGCACAUUUGACAAUGCAGUAAAUGAUCAAUUGUGUGGAGUAGAGGAAAUAGUAUCUUAGUAGAGUUUUGUUAAGUAGUUUUUAGAUAGGUAACAAUUGUAUGUUUGUGAGGGUGCUGCACAAUUAAGAGUGGGGCUAUGUAGAAUAGGUAAAUAAACUUUGUGAUAAGUUAUUGGUUGGUUAUUGAUAACCUUGAGAAUUAGACUAAUGGUUAGGCAAUUUAGUUGGUAAUAGUUAGUUGUUAGUGGAAUAAAUGAUUAAGAAUUCAAAUGGUCAUAAUCUUUGGAAUCUGCUGACGGAUGGAUCAUCUUUUUUGUAGGAUAAAGAGGUUGAGGAAAGAGAGAUCGGGGCUAGACUGUGAGAGUCGUAAGCCAAGGAGCCAGACUGUGAGAGUCGUAAGCCAAGGAAUCAGAUUAUGAAAAUCGUAAGCCAAAGAGCCAGAUUAUGAGAGUCGUAAGCCGAGAGCCAGACUAUGAGAGUUGUAAGCCGAGAGCUAGACUGUGAGAGUCGUAAGCCAAGAUAUUGAAUUCUGUGUGAUGAAUUGAGAAACUGAAUACAAUAGGUAAGCUAGAGAUCAGUAAUUGAAUAUAUAUAAACUACAAAGAGAGUAAGUGGGAGAUGAACGGAUAAGAAUAUGGAAGUAUUGUUGAAUUGAUAGUCGUAGAAUGGAUUCUAUGUUGAAUUAAGAUGAAAGUAAUAAGCCUUGGUAUUUUGUAAUUGAUAAUUGAUUUCAGAUAGCCAGAGUAUAGUCAAUUGUAACACUAACAGACUCAAUUCAUAUAACCAAUCUUUCCUCGUGUUUGAAUCCACUUCUAUUAGUUCAAUUGGUAUAUUGAAGCUUGAACACAAGAAGAACAACGAUUACAAAGAUAAGAUUGGAUUUGGCAAAAUUGAUGGUAAUUUUAUUUUUUUAUUUUUUCUAAAAAGAGGUUUAUGGACCACAUUAAAUGUUAUUUUUGUUGUCUCAAUAUAUUUAAAAUUAAUAUAUUGUGAAGUUUUGACUUUUAAGUCAUAGUACACGAAUCUUAUAAAAAUCUGUUUCAACAUCUUUUGAGUUCAAUGACAAGAAUGUUCAUUCAUGUACAUUGAUCAUUAAUUAGGGUUGAUCCAUUCUUUGUAUAAAAUGAGAAUCAUUUGCAAUAAACAGUAAACCUUUCACAUUGUACAACUGUAAUGAUGUAACCUUUGGCAAAUCAUGAUACAUUGUCAAAUAUUUAGACUAAAAAUCGUUUUUAAGAUGACUUCAAAAUAUUCUAAACUAGUUAAAAUACCAGCAUAUUUACAAUCAUUGUAACAUGUGAUAAUAUAUAAUAUCCAACACAAGGGAGACAUUGUUUUAUUUAAGAAAUUUCUUUGCUAUUGUUAAAAAAUGCGAUUUUCAAAAGUGAUUUUGUUUUAUGAUUUGAUCAUUUAAGGUUUAUGAGAAAUGACUUGAAUUUUUUUUUUAAAGAGUUAAACAGAUUUUGAAGGUUCUUUUGUAAAAAUUGCAUUAUUUUUCACUUUUGUACUACAAAUCUCAAAUUUGGAUACAUAUGUGUAAUAAUAUAUUUUGAUGUUGUAAAUAUUUUUAUUAAUAAAUUUAAGUUCUCAGCAAAAAAGUUUUGGAAAUCAAUUUAUUAAAAUAAUAAUAAUAAUAAUAAUAAUAAUAAUAAUAAAAUUAAGAUGUCAUAAAUUUUAAGAAUUUUGGGAUUAAAUUAGGCAAGAUAAAAAAAAAUAUAGAAAGUUCUUACAUAAACAUGAAUACAAAUUAUUAAUAAAAUAAAGAACCAAAUGAAGAAAUACAUGAGAAUUAAAUUAUGUGAUAUUCUUUUUUAAAGGAAAUUAUUAAUUUUAAAGAAUUUAAAGUAUUGGCAUAAGUAUUCUAAAAAUCUUAAAUAUUAAUAAAUUAAAGUUUGCAGCACAAUGGAAGGAUGUGGUAUUAUUUCGCUAGUAGGAUUUGACAAAGUGAAUGUAAAAAAUGAAAUGUCUUUAUCCACGUGGUCUUUUAAAUAGAUAAAAAAUCAAAUAAAAAAUAACUAUGUCAAACUAUUUAAGGGCAUGGUCUUUGGAGCACUUAGAGUAUGUACUAAAAAUCAUUCUUAAAACACAAAAUCUUCACAUUUUAUGUUUAUUUAUGUAUAUAUCAGUAAAUUGAUUUGUAAAAUAAAAAAGGAGAAUAAUUUUUUUAUUCUAUUUUUUCUAAAUAUAAAAAAUAAUAAAGAUAUUAUUAAAAAAAUAUUAUAGUCAAAAUUAUGUUUUUAAAUCUUUUCAACUUUUCUAAAACCUAAAACAAUAGAUUUUGACUUGUUUUUGUUUUUGUUUUUGUUUUUUUUUUGUUUCUGAUUUUUUUUUAUCUCAAUGUUAGAAAAUUUUAUUUUAAUUUUUUCAAUAAAUUCACAAAGGUCUAAAAUAAAUUAAAUUAUUUACUAAUUAAUUUAUUGAAGUUACAAGAAAAUUCAAAAAGUCAUCUAAGAAAGAACUAUGGCUAUUUUUUUUUUUUUUUUUUUUGUUUAAUCAUUGAAGUAUUUUAGCAAAAAAAAAAUUGUGUAUUAAUCCAAUAUCAAUUCUAAUUAUACUCUCCAAUAAACUUUUAUAUUUUCUAGUAAUAUUAUAUAAAAAAAUAAAACAUAUAAUUGGUCAUGAAAAAAGAUGUAUUUUGUUAAGUUUGGCCUAGUAUACUUUAUUAUUUCUUGUAUAAUCUCUUUAAUGCCAUUACAUAAGCUAUUUACAAUAGAAAUUAUUUUUAACUAAGAGCAUAAGGAAGACAUGGCUUUUUAGAAGUCAAUGUGAUCUUAGAAAUAAAUGUAAUAUAAUAAUUUUAUUAUAUCAAUACCUUAAUUACAAUGAUUUAAUUGGUAAAAUAUUUGAUAAUUAGCUAAGUCCUAUAAAAAAGAUCAAUUACUAGGACAAAAUUAUAGAAAAGCAUCACAAAUAAAUCAACUUGUAGUAUAAGCUGAUGUAAUCGAUAUUUACUUAUUUCCAACAUGUUUUUAUCAACAACAUGAAUCUUAAAGAAAGAAAUUCUAAAUACACUCUUGUGUCACUGAAAAGAAUUAUUAAAUCACUCAAAGAUGAUAUAAUAUUGAACUAGAAAAGCUAUUGCUAAAAACAAAAAGACUAAACAAUCUUGAAACAAGACUAAGAACUUAAAAGACAUUGAUAAGAAUGAAGAAGGCUUCACUUUUGCCUCCAUAUAUACUCUUAAAUAGGAACUACAUGGCAAUGUCUUAUAGGACCUCCAAAACGUGUUGAUUUUAUAAGACACAUAUCUUGUUUUUUAUAUGUACACCACAUAGUUAACUUGUUCCGCAAGCUAUCAACAUGUAGUUAACUUGUUGACUAAGUUUCUAACCUAUCAAUCACCUACAAAUAUAUGUAAAGUUAAAACAAUAUCUACAAAGCUUCUAGGAAGCUUUUCUAAAAGGUAUUAUGAAAUUAAUAUACUUUUAUCUAAUCAUAUAGGUAUUUACUAAACUAUACAUGUCUAUUUGUGACAUUACCUCAUCUUUUAGAGAUGAGUUCCAUGAAGAGCAGUCAUCAUAUGUUGAUGAAAUCCAAUAUGCAAAAAAUCAUAUUUGCUAUAUAUUUUGAUCUUUGUUUUCUUUGAAGAUGAUUGAUAGGUCUUCUAAGCCAUCAACAGUAUCAUAUUUCAGGAUAAGAAGACUACCCUAUUAUUUGAUUGUUAUUAAGAUCUUUGUAACUUCUUUCAAAUAAAAUAUUUUGAACAUUGUUAAAUUUUGUUCCUAUCUCUAAUAAAAUCACCAAACAUUAGAAAUAUCUUUUAAGAUCGUGGUACCAUAUACAUUGUAUCUUGCCAUCUAUUCUAAAAAAGACAUGUCAUUCUUAAAGUUCUUCAUUUUGAUUAUAUCAUCUUGAAGGUUGUGAUAAUUGUAAUAUCUAAUUUGGUAAGUCAACAAAUAAAAGCUCUUGAGUUGAAUAUGUUAAUAGUUUGUUCUCCAUCUUUUUAGCAUUACAAAUAUACAAAAUCUAUAAAUAAAAAUAGAAGGUAAAAUGUUACCUUCUCUAGAUCUUAUUUUAUUUACAAUAAAGAUUUGCUAUUCUUCAUCAUGAUUUUGAUGGAUGUCGUCAAUAAAAAGCCUCAACUCUCUUUGCUAUAUUUACAAGAUUCUUUGCUAGCUUCUAUGUACAUUCACUAAUAUCAUGUCUGCAUCAAUAAAUAAAUUAUUUUAACUUAUUUUGGCAUCGCUUUAAAUCUAAAACUUCUCCUACUUCAAAUUCUUGAUUAUUAUCCACUUCUAUAGGAAGAAGUGGCAUUUGUCUUUUUUUCAAGAUAUUCACUAUCUUAUAUGCCUCAAAAAGAGACAUGUAAAAUAUGGGAUGGAUUUUCAUAGACUCCAAUAGAUGUAAUCAAUAAGCAAUAUGAUUGACUUAUUCACAAAUAGAAAAAAAUCCAAGCCUAUGAAAGUCCAACUUGUCACAACAACAAGUAGUCUUGAUAUUGCAACAAGAUAACCAUAUCUUGUUAUUCACAUUGAAUUAUAGUUGUUCUUUGUAAUAGACAUCUGCAAUAAUUUUUUGUUGUUCUUGAACUUCCUUUAACUGCGCCUUCAUUGUUGCAUGUAGUUUUGACAAAUAAUUUGCCAAAUCUUUUGCUAUAGGAUUAUCAACUUUUGAAAAGUAAAAAAUAAAAAGUCAUAGAUGAUAACCAUAAUUGGCAAAAAAAAGUAUUCAUUGAGUGGAAGAAUGUAUCAAAUUAUUGUAUGUAAACUCUGCCAAUGGUAAAAAAUGUUGUCUAAUCAUCUUGAUGAUAAUUGAUGGUACAUUUCAAAUAUUGCUCUAAAACUUCAUUCACAUGUUCCAUUUGUCCAUCAAUUUGAGGAUAAAAAGUUGAAGAGAGCUUUAUAUCUACCUUUAAAAUUUUAAAAAGGAUUCUCUAAAAUCUUCAUAUAAAUUGAGUUCUUUUAUUUGAUAUAAUAUCUUUAGGCAAUCUAUGAUAGUGAUAGAUAUUGUUAAAAAAAAAGUUUAGUUGUUUUUUUUUUACCUAUGAUAGAUUUUGUACAUGAUACAAAAUAUAUCAUCUUGCUAAAAUAAUCUACUUCCACAAAUAUAAAUUUAUUCAAAUCUGAGACUAGAAGAUCCAUGAUAAAAUCCAUAGAAAUAGUAGACCAUAGUUGUUCUAGAAUAGAUAAUGGCUAAAGAAGUCCACAAGAUCAAUAGCGAGGAGUUUUGGAUCUUGAACAAAUAUCACAUGAUUAUACAAAGUCUUUAACAACCUUCUACAUUUGAGGCCACAAAAAAUCUUUCAAUAUUAAUUCCAAAGUCUUAUUGUAUUCAAAAUGUUUAGCUGCUAAAACGUCAUGACAAUUUUCAAGAGCAUAUAAUUAUGCUUCGCCUUUUGGAAUAUAUAAUUAUCUCUCAAAAUAGAGUAGAUUGUUAUUGAACUCGAAUAUGGAAGUAUCAUGAGAUUUAAAAGAAUUAUUCUUGAUAUUAUAGAUAAUAGAAUCAAAAGAUAUACUUGAUUGAAUUUGCUUGACAAAGAUUGAAUAAAAAAUUAAUGUUGAUUUUAUUGCUUGAAGAUGAAAAUGCUUCAACUCCAAAAAAAUUAUUCUUUAUUGAUCAAAAGAUGUAUCUCUUUUUUUGGUGCAAGAUAAGAACAUCUUGAAAAGGCAUCUAAUAAAUUUUGUUAUUUUUUAAGUUAAUAUAUGAUCUUAAUAUCAAAUCUUGAUAAAAACAUAUUUCAAUAAACUUUGUGACAAUUCAAAAGAUGUGCCAAUAUGAAAUACUCAAGGUUCUUCUGAUUUAUAUACAUGGUGACUAGACUCAAGGUGCCUUCUAAAUAAUGAUACUAUUCUUAAAAUGAAUCCAUAAUUGCGAGGUGUUCUUUGUCAUGGAUCUUUUAAUUAAUCUCAGCUACUAAUUUUUUUAAAAAAUAGAAAGCUACUAGAUGGAGCUUGUCAUUUGAUCCCAUUUCUGUCAAUAUUGCAUCCAAGGCAAAGUUUGAUGCAUCUGUUUUAUGAAAAUGCCUUGGAGAAGUCAACACAAUAUAAGAUUAGUGUAGAAAUAAAUUCUUUUUUUAAAGCAUCAAACAAUACUUUGGCUUCUUUAUUCCACUUAAAUUUGUCUUUAAAAGUCAAACAUAUCAAUGGACCUACAAUUUGAGAAAAUUUCUUGAUGAAGAUCUGAUAGUAAUUGGCAAAGCCAAAAAAAUAUUGUAUAUUUCUUAUUGUUCUUAGAAUCUUCAAAUCCAUGAUAUUCUAGACCUUGUUUGGAUCUAUCAUUAAUCCUUCAUUGGAAAUAAUAUAUUCUAAGAAGUUAACUUAAGUAGUGUAGAAUACAUAUUUUUAAAAUUUGGCAUAUAAUCUUACAUCUUUAAGUUUUUGUAACACAUGAUAAAAAUGAAUUUCAUGCUCUUCUAUUUUUUAGAGUAGAUUAAGAUGUCGUCCAAAUAACAGACAACAAAAUUAUCAAGAAAUUCACAAAAGACAUUAUUCAUUAGAUAUUGAAAAACACUUGGUGUAUUCAUGGCUCUAAAAGGUAUGACAUUAUAUUCAAAAUGUCUAUACUUGAUUUGAAAUGAAGUUUUCUAUUCAUCUCCUUCUUUAAUACAUACCAAAUUACAUGCUCUUCAUAGAUCUAUUUUUAUAUAGAUCUUUAUUUGAUUGAAUUGAUAAAAAACUCUUGAAAUCAAAGGCAGAAGAUACAUAUUCUUGAUGGUGAUUUUGUUGAAUCUUUGAUAGUCUAUUCACAUUUACAAAGAUCUGUCUUUUUUUUACAAAUAAGAUAGGAGCCUUGGUUGGAAAUUUAGAAUAGUAUAUAAAAUUCUUAGUCAAAUUCUAUCAAUAUAUUCUUUGAGUGCAGCCAAUUUUUUUUGUGAUAGGCUAUAGAUUGGUCCAAAUGGUACUUAAUUUCUUUCUUGAAGAUCAAUGAAAUAAUCAUAAGGAUGAUGCUUUGGAAAAAUAUUUCCAUUAUUCUUUUCAAAAAUGUCUUAGAAAUCUUAAUACUAGCUACAAAUACUACUUGAUAUCUUUCCACCAUCAAAAAUAGAUGUGGCAUAUAUAGCAAAAGAUGUCCCUUCUUUUGUAAUAUUUAUGAAAGCUUAGGUGUAUUAGACUUAUAUAUUUCUAUUUGGAUAACAAGAUUUUAGAUUAAAUUGUUAAAAAAAUUAAGGUUAUAAAAAAUCUAAUCUAUUCCAAGUUUACACUUUUUUAACCAAAAUAAUCCUAAAAUAAUUGGAUUGAAUAAAGAACUUAUUACAUUAAAUAUUACUAUAUUAUUAUGAUCUUUAAUAGCUACAUCUAAAGAAAUAGUUUCAUAUCUAAUAUUUCUAAAAAAUAGCAAAUGACCAUCUAUGACUUCUAUAUAUAUGGAUUUAAUUUUCUUGACCAACAAUAUUUCUUAUUUUUUAACAAAAUCUUUAUUUAUAAAACAAAAUGAGGUUCCUAAAACUAACAAAGCUAAGACGUUGUGAUUUUUUUGUCCUAAAUAAAUAUUUAUUGUAAUACAAGGAUAGAGGUGUGAGGAAAAAAUAAGACCUUCACUAGGAGUUACAUAAGAUUCCAACUCCACAAUCCUUAUUAUAGCUCAAAAAAUUUAUUUUCCAACACAUUGUCUUCUUUGGCAACCAUGCUUUUCAUUUUGUUAUUGUAUUAUUUCUUUGGACACUAUUGAGUAAUAUGUUUAGUUUCUUUAGAAUAUAACCAUAAGCCUUCUUGAAGUUGUUGAUUCUUUUCUUGCUCUAUGUGGAAUUUAAAACAUACCAUAUCAAUUUGCAUUGAUUCUAGCCUUAAUGAAUAAGUUUUUGAAAACUUUGGAGUUAUAAUUAUUAUUUGACUUAUUCUUCUUCAGCUAAGUCUUUGUUUUAAAUGUUGUCAUAUUAUAACACAACUAUAUGGUGAAAGAUGAUAAUAUGGAUCUUAUUAUAGAAUAGCCAAGUAAAAAAAAAAGUAAAAAAAUAUGGAUAAAAGAUAGGAAGGUAAUAAAAGUUUUAGUAGUAAUGCUGCCCUUUUAGAAAAAAUAGCUUCUACUUACUUUGUAGGGCCAAAAAUAAGACAAAAUAAGAUAGAUUGGAAAAAUAAAUGAUAUAGACAUCUUUAGAAAGAAGUUAAGAGUAAAUUCUAGUAAAAAUUACUUAGAAAAACUAGAUGUUGAUACCCAGAGAUGGCCGGUUAUGAACCAGGGUCGAAAUCAGACCCUGAGGCACAAAACCGAGUCUCGACGAUGACUCCAAGUCUCUUUGGCAGAUCAAAGAGUGGGAUUUGAUAGAAGAUUAGAUAAGAUUUCUAUAAGCAUUGGUUUUGGGUGAUUUGGAUCUGUAUUGUCUUUCUAGGAGAUAUGCAAAGUCAAGGUUUGUUUUGGAUGACUUGAGUUUUGUGAAAUAAAAUAAGGUUUAUGUUUUGGGUGAUUUCAAGAGUUUUGUAAUAGAUCUAUGGAUAAAAUUUUGUGGAUUAAUGAUUUUAGUUAUAUUCAAUAUGUGUUGUGAAUUUGAGCUCGAUCUAAUAGUUGAAUUGAGGGUUAUUGAAGUUUAAGUGAGUCAAGGUCUCAAAAAGUAGAAUUUUAGGUCUAGUGAGGGUUUUUAAGAUUUCUUAUAAACUACUAGUUAGAUUGAAAGAUAUUAGACUUAUUUUUCUAUGUGUAUGAGAAUUUUAAAAUCAAUCAAACAAUGAAAAGGAGAGAUAUUGGCUCUCGAAGAUUGGGAUCAAGGUUAGAAAAGGAGGCCGAUCAAUACUUGAGCACGUUUUUGAGGUUAUCGUUUGCUUGGUAAUUCUGAUCUUUUUCAAUUUUUUUGUGAUUAUUUUCAACUUAGUUUUUAAAAAGUGUGAAAAAUUUGAGUUAAGAUCAAUGGUUCAUUCAUUAGUUAUUGAGGUUUAAAUCUGUAAUGGAAAUUACUUGGGUUUGGUGAGGAUUUGGUUUAGGAUUUAGAAUUUUGUUAGGAUUUGAUUUAGAGUUAGGAUUUGAUUAGGGUUUGAUUUAGGAUUUAAGAUUUGAGUUAGGAUUUGAUUAGAGUUGAUUUAGGAUUUAGGAUUUGAUUUAGAAUUUGGUUGAAAUUUGGUUUAGGGUUCAAGAUUUGGUUAGGGUUUGGUUUAGGUUUAGGAUUUGAUUUAGGGUUAGAAUUUGAUUAGAGUUUGACUUAGAAUUUAGGAUUUGGUUUAAGGUUUGGUUAGAAUUUGGUUUUGAAUUUGUUUAGGGUUUGGUUUAGGAUUUGGUUGGGAUUUGAUUUAGGGUUUGUUUAGAGUUUGAUUUGGGAUUUAGGAUUUAGGAUUUAGGGUUUGGUUUAGGAUUUGGUUGGGAUUUGAUUUAGGUUUAAGAUUUGAUUUAGGAUUUAGGAUUUUAUUAGGGUUUUUUAGGAUUUAAGAUUUAAUUAAUUUUGGCCUAAAGUUUGAAUGAAGUCUAAUAGGAUUUUAACUAGAAUUACACUAAAAUUGAAUUGAGAUUUAUUUGAGAUAUACUUCCAAUCAGUCUAAUAGUUCUUAAAGAUUUGUUAUUUUUUCUUUGAGGUUUCUUUGAAUUUGAUUAAAGCUUAUUUAGUAUUUUUAGUAUUUUAUUAGAAUUAGGAUUUUGUUGUUGCAAUUUCUAUUCUACCUUCCACAACUAGGAGCUCGAAGUAUUCUUAAGCAAGACUUCAUGUAUUAUGAUAAUGUCUUUUAAAUAAUUAAUUUUUACAUACAAUAGCUUAAGCUAUAAAUUAUUCUAAAGAUUUUGUGUAUGGCAUUUUUAAUAAUAAAUCUUUAAUAUUAUCCUUCAAUCUAUAUCAAAAUUUAUCGAUAAGGGCUUUGUUAUUCCAGUCCAUGUUGGAAACAAGGUUUUAGAAUUCAGCAACAUAUAUAGUAGUUGUCCAUGAUCUUUGCUAUAAAGAUAAGAGCUUGGUCUCUACUAUUCUUUCUUUAUCACUUUUUCUAAAUAUAGCUAUAAAAAAUUUUAAAAAUAAAUUUAAAUCAUAAAAGAGUCACAAGUAUUUUUCUAUUAAAGAUGCAAAUUAAGAUAGAAUACUUCUUCAUAGAAUUGCAUCUAUGAAUCCAACUUGAAUAAAUCCAUCAAGUUAUAAGAAGGAUGCAAUCUUAAAUAGAACUUGACUUAUUAUAAAAAUCCUUGAAAUUUUGAUCUUGUUCUAUUGAACUUUUCAAGGUUACUAAUCUUUAUACCCAUAGUUGUAAAUCUAUUCUCACUUUUGCUAAGAAUAGCAUCUAUAAUUUUUUCUUCUAUAAUCAACUCAAAUAAAUUCAAAAAGUUAAUUUAGAGGAGGAUAAUUUAUAAUAUAUAAUAUUAAAUAAAAGUUUCCAUAAAGAAGAGAAAUUCACUCUCUUUAAGGAAAAAAUCAAUGUUAGAAAAUAAGAUUGUUUGUUUAAAGGUCGAUAGUCAACAUCCUUCAAAAUACAAUAAUAGAAGUACAGUAUUCUACUCACUUUUAAAACAAGAUAAAAAUAAUAUAUUAGCAUUCAUGCCAAAGUAUUAAAGACAUGAAUCUUGAAAAAAAAAUCUUCCAUACACUCUUGUGUCACUGAAAAGAACUAGAAAGUCAUUCAAAGAUGAUAUAGUAUUGAACUAGAAUAGCUAUUGCUAAAAAUAAGUAGACCAAAAAGUCUUGAAAUAAGAUUGAGAACUUGAAAGGUAUUGAUAAGAAUGAAGAAGGCUUCAUUCUUGCCUCCAUAUAUACUUUUAAGUAGGAACUAUGUGGUGAUAUACUAUAAGACCUCCAAAAUGUAUUAACUUUGUAAUACACAUAUCUUAACUUACAAGACAAGUUUUCUAUAUAUACACCACAUAAUUAGCUUAUUUUGUAAGCUAUCAACUAGUGAUUAAUUUAUUGACCAAGUUUCUAAUCUAUUAAUUAAUUACAAAUUCAUAUAAAGUCAAAAUAAUAUCUAUAAAGCUUUUAAAAAGCUUUUCUUGAAGUAAUUAUAAAAUAAAUCUACUUUUAUCUAUUUUUAUCUACUUCUAUCUAAUGAUAUAGAUAUUUAUUAAAAUAUGUAUGUAUAUCUGUGAUAUGUUUAUGUAUUCUAGUAAAACUAUCUUUGUAACUUGUUAUUCAUUAAUCUUGUGUAUGCUCAAAUAAUCAUAAUAUUCUUUAAUUAUUAUUUUUAUAUUUUAUUUAUUUAUUAUAGUAAUUAUAUUAUUAUGAAAAACCAAAAAUAAUAUAUUUAUUUAAAAAUUUAUUAUCUUUAAAACCAAUCUAUAUUGUAAUGUAUGUCUUGUCAAUUAAGUAUAAGAUAUCUUGUUGAUUCAAGAUUAUGCUUGGUGGACAAUAAAAAUAAUCAUGUUUGAUAGAUAUGAUUUAUUUUUAUUAAGAAUAAGAAAAAAAUUGACAAAAUUUCUAUCUCCAAUCUUACUAUCUAUAGUAUAUGCAAUAACUACUUGCUUAUUUUUUUGUAAAUAAAAAAUAUCAUCAUUGUUCUAAAAUUUUUAUUUUUUUAAUUAAUGGUGAUUCAAUAUUGGUUUAGUCUUUUUUUAAAUUACUAAGAGGACUUUUCUAAAGUUCUUAGAUAUAAAAAAAAUAAGACCUCUAAAAGACUUAUUAUUUUUGGUUAUAUUUUAAAGCAUUCUAUCCAUUACUUCAAAUGCUAUUUUGUUCUUAAGUAGAGGUUUAUUCCAAAGAAUUAAUCUUAUUUUUUUUCAUAAAUUCAUUAUUAAAUUUAAUUUACUCUAAAUAUGGAAAAUAUUAAGAAAUUCAAUUUAUUUAUGAUUUAAAAUCUAAAAGGUGCCAUCAUAUUUUAUUGCAUUUAUAUAGAAUAAUUUCCAAAGAUACAACCAUAAGAGUAAAUUCUUCAUAUGUAUAUACAAUUUUUUUUUAAAAAAAAUUAAUUUGAUUUUAAAAAAAUUCCUAAGAUUUUCAAUGAUAAAAUUCUUAAAGACUUUUCAAAUGCAUGCUUCAAUCAUUAUUUAAUAUAUUAUAUGAUAAUCAUUAUUUAGGACUUAAAUCUCUUAUUUAAUAUCUUUAUUGAUUUGUAUUACAUUAGUAUCAAAUUAUUCUUUGAUAACUUUAUUAAUUUUUAGCUCCUUAAGAAGAAUUAAAGAAAAAAGAAUGUUAAAAUUUGCAAGCAUUUUAUUUAGUCUUUUUAAUUUUUAACUUAAAAGUGAUAAUAUAAGAUUUUUAAAUUUUUAUUUAAUAGAGUUUCAAAUUUGUGGCCUUGUUAGCACUUUUGUAGCUUUAAUUAGGUAUUGAUCUUACUCAUUAUUUAUGCAAAGUAAGCUAAGAGCUUCACAUGCACCUUUAAAUAAUUUAUGGACAUGACUUUUAAUUUUUUAAAGUUCUUUACAUAAUGUGGCUUCCUUGACUAUUGUGAGAAAUAUUGAAAGAAAGUAUUAUUUAUCAAAUGUGGGACCAAAAUGUAAAAUUUAUCUUGAAAUUAUAAUUGACAUGUGGCUAUAGAAGAAUUCAAAUUUAUAUAUAAGUUUUAUUAAAAUAAAUUUAUAAAAUUCAUGCUUUGCAAUCUCUAAUACUUCACCAAUUAUAAAUUUAACCUUUUCAUAAAAAAAUGCUCUUUUAUUAUUUUUAAAAAAAAUUAUAGUAUUUUUAAUAUUUGAUUGUUAUUUAUAAGCAUGAUUUAUUUAUUUAUUUAUUUUUAUGAAUUCUUUCUCAUUUAUAGAAAAAUUUGCUAUUAUCUUGUUAUAUAUAGGAUUAUUUUGUUGUAGUACUUUUUUUCUUCUUAUAGUCCUUUUUGAUGGCCUUUUAUGAUUUUUAUUCUUAUUUUUAUUUUUCUUCUAUCAAUAGUUCAUUAUUAAUCCUUUUAAUAUAUAUAAAUCAAUAAUAUAUCUCCAAAUUAAUUUUACACACCAAUAUAUAAAUUUUUAUUGUAAAAAUUUUAAAAAUUGUUUCUAAUAAAUUUUACUUUAUUAAUAUAAUUUGGUGUAAUGAACUAUAGGAAAUUAGAUUUUCUUAGAAAUUUAAAAUUUAUUCUUAGAUAUUUUUUUGGAUUUUCUUCCAUCUAAUUUGUUGAUAUAUCAUUGCUUGAAACUAUGUGUACUUUAAAAACAUCUCAUAUAAACACUCUCAUCUUUCUUUUAAUAAGUUUUGUUCUUCAUUUUUUUUAAUUUUUUUUAAAUAUAUCAUACUAUCUUUAAAAAAUAAUAUCUUUUUAUAGUGUUUCUAUAAAAUCUUUGCAUUUCUUUCUUCAAUAAUCUAUGCUAUCAAACCACGUCAUCUAUGUACCAUAUCUUCUAUUAGUUUUGAUCUUUGUCUUAUUAAUAAUCUUUACAAUUGAUAUUUUUCUUUUAAUUUUAAAAAUUUUAUUUUAAAAUCUCUCAUUAUACAUUAAAUUACAUGAAGAUUUGUUUCUUCUUUCUUUAAUAUAACCAUUGAAAAUUAAGUAACAAAUGUAAGUUGAAUAGUAGGCAUUUUCAUUUGAGAUGCUUGGAUUGGCCUUUAAAUACCAAUUCUAUAUUUUUUUUUCUUUUUUUUUCAACAAUCUUAUUGUCUCUUUUCUUGUUUCUAAUAUUUUUCAAUUUCUCAUCUUUUUUUUCUAUCUUCAAGAAAAAUUUCUAACUUCUCUUUUAACUUUUUAUUAACUGCUUGAAGAAAAAAUUCUGCUUUUUUUUAUUUCAAUAUUUGUUUCAACUUCUCAGAUAAACAAAUAUCCAAUAUUUAUCCUUAUCAAUUGCAUUUAUACAUUGAAAUCAUAGAAUUAGCACUUUUUGUACUUUUUGGUUUGGUUUUUAUUUUUAUAUGAUACAUUUGAGUUUUAAACAUCAAAACAACUAUGAAUAAAAUAAUAAAUCAUCAUAUUAUAUGCUUUAGAUUAUAUACUUAGAUCUAAGAAUUUAAUAUAAUCUAUCAAGUUAUAUUCUUUUACAUUAAAUAUUUUCUAUUACCUUUGAAAAUAAUGAAGUUAUGUGCACUUUGAGCUCUCAUUUAUGCUCCAAAAUUUAACUUUUUAAUUUUUUCUUAUUUUAAGAUAAUUGAGCAUGUUAGAUUAGCAUUUAUAUAGGUAGAAUUUGGUUUUAUUAAAAUUUUAGGAUUAUAACCUUUGAUGGUAUAAAUCCUAGGCUGAUUCCUUGAAUUAGGUUAAUUAAGACCAAAAUGAUAAGGAUUAAAAAAUUUGAAUAGUAAUUUGAUUAGUUUUAAUAAUUUAGAGGUCGUUAGUCAUUGCUAUAAGGGUUGAUUGAAAGCUUAUGAAUUAAUCUACAAUCAUAUCAUAUGAUUUAGAGUGAAUUAGAAUUAGAACCUUCUAAAAGAUUUAGUGAAGUUUAGCAAUGAUGAUUUUGAAGCUUUUUCUUCAACUUCAACAAAUUCAAGCAGCAAAGUAGUUUUUUUCAAUUAAUAGAGACUUUCAAAUGCAAUGGCAGCAUUGGAUUCACCCUAUGGAGUGAAGAAAACAAGAUUAGCACCUUCUCCUCCAACAUACAAGUGGAGCAAUGAAAUUUUCAUUUUUGAAGGAUUUUACAAUAAUUGCUAAAAUCUUUAAAGGUAAAAACUUUCAUAAAAAUUACAAAUAAAUAUAGAUGGAGGCAUAUGAAUAGACAAUCUUAGCAUAAAAAGGAGUUUUGAACACAAUGGUGAAGUUAGAUUUACCAAAAAUUGCUUUUUUGAAUACUUAUAAUAGCCAUCAGCUUUGGUAACGAAAUUAGCUUUUGGAUGAAUGAAGGCCAUAGAUCUAGAUAAGGCAUCUUAGAAAUCAAGGGUGGAGAUGCAACCACCCUUCCACAAGCCUCAAUUCAAUUGUAUAAGAGAGGCUUGGUUUUUCGGACCCUCUCUCUCUCAUCUUUUAGUGAAGGGCAAAGCCAUGCCAAAAUUUGGCCAAAAAUCCUAAUCUUAAUUUCAUUUAGAUUUUAAAAUCUCAUUGUAAACUUUGUAGAUGGAUGUACAUGGAUUUUUAGUUGUAAAUGAUAGUCAUUGGAUUUUAAAACAUGCUUCAUUGUGGUAGAUAGGUCUCUUGGCCUCCAAGUAUUCCAAGGGUUUCAAGAGCCUUAAAUUUCACUUAAUCAAUCAUUCAAUUUUUUUUAGUUUCAAUGUGAAAUUCCUUUUGGUUGUAGCUUUUGGUAUUAGCUUUUCAAAAAGUUUGGAUCACUCAAUUUCAAAAGAGCAAUUUUCACAAUUGGAUCACUAAAUUACAAUAAGAUUUAUUAGAACAAGAGCAUCUUUAAGUUAAUCUUCUAAUAAACUAAGAAUUAUUUAAUUUGGAGCUAGUUAUAAUUUUUGUCAAGUUUUGGAGUAGAAGGGGGUCAGUGCCUUCAAUCAUUGGAUGUUAUCAAGAUACCUUUGCUUUUAUCUUCCUUAUUUUAUUUUUACUUUUAUCUUCACAGUGACUCAUAAUUUCCACAUUUCAACUUUUGGCUAAAAAAUUUUAAAUUUUAACUUUUAACCUUUAAUAUUCUCACUUUAAAUUUAAUUUUUAAUUUUUAAUUUUUAAUUUUAACUUAAACUUAAGUUUUUAUUCCUAAUGUAAAUUAAUAUUAAUAAUUUAAUUAAUUAUUUUUAUCAUUUUUGCAAAUUAAAUUUUAUUUAAUAUUUUAAUUUAAUAUUAGUAACCAUCGCUUGAAAGGUGUUAGUUUUAAUUGAACUAUAAACACUUGCAUUUAAAUUAAUUUAAAAAUUACACAAUUGGGAGUUCUUCCAUUCUACAUCUUGAGCUUGUUUUGUAGUACUAAUUCUAUAGAGUAGUGGAUUUUAGGCUCACAUGCAUGCAAUAAAUUCUUAUUUUAAAUUUUAUCAUAUAUAUUUUUGUAAAGAUUAACUCAAAAAGGUUGCUACAAAUUUUUGUGAAGAGUUUAAUUAAUUUGAAUUAAAAUACUUAAUUAACUAUGUUAGACCAAUUUUGUGUUAUAUAGUCAAGUAAUAACAUUGCUUUGAAUUUUUGGCCAUUUAAGAUUACACAUAAAGAUAAUUAUUAAGUUGAGAUAUCAAAAAUUAUGCACUAUUUCAAUUGCUUUUACAUACAUGAAAAAUGAAGCUUGUAACUAUGGAAUUACAAUUAAGUUACAUGCUUAGAACUACCUUAAUAUACAAUGACAGGAUUAUCUUUAGUCAUAAAUAUAUUUCUAUCUUUUUGAAAUUUAUUCAAAUAUAUUUUAAAUUUUCAUUUAUAUUAUUUAUUUGGAAAUAAAAGCAUAUAAUGAAGCAAUAAAUAUGAUGGAUAAAACAAUAAAAAUACAAAAAAAUACUCUAAUUGAUAUUUUUUAAAAUAAUAUCUUAUUUUUUGGAAUUGCCAUCAUUGCCUUUUUCUACUAUAAUUGCACCAACUUCAUCAAAAAUUAUUGAAUUAUAGCAUUGGCUAUUAUUUUGCCAAAGUACUAAGACUAAGAUCAAAGACUAUAAUCUUCUACAUGUCUAUUUAAUUUUUAGUUUAAAUUAAUAAAAAAUCAUGCAUAUGGAUUAUAAGUAUGCAACAUAUUUUUCAAAGUUUUCAUCGUUUUUUUCUUUAAGAUAGCAAAGAUUGACAUCCUAAUAGUAGAUUUUUAUAAAUAAUUUUUUAUAUAUUUUUAUAAAUUUUAAUUAUAUUACUUCAACAAUUAUUGUAUAGGUAUUUUUCAACUUAGAUUAAAAUUUUAAAAUAUCUAUUUAAGAAAAUUUAGAAGUUUUAUUUAUAAUUAGAAGAAGAUUAUAUAUUCAAUGAUAUAAUUUUCUAUGUAGGUAAUAAGCAUAGUUCUUAGUAUAGACAAAACACAAAUC